UAGGGUUACGACUAUUAGCCCCUUGUAGCCAGAGGUUAGGGUUAGGGUUAUGACUAUUAGUCACAUGUAGCCAGAGGUUAGGGUUAGGGUUAGGGUUACGACCAUUAGCCCCUUGUAGCCAGAGGUUAGGGUUAGGGUUAGGGUUACAACCAUUAGCGCCUUGUAGCCAGAGGUUAGGGUUAAGGUUAUGACUAUUAGUCACAUGUAGCCAGAGAUU